rnacentral:rRNA from 1 species
UACAGAGGUCUCAAGCGUUGUUCGGAAUUACUGGGCGUAAAGCGCACGUAGGCGGAUUUGUAAGUCAGGGGUGAAAUCCUGGAGCUCAACUCCAGAACUGCCUUUGAUACUGGGGAUCUCGAGUCCGGGAGAGGUGAGUGGAACUCCGAGUGUAGAGGUGAAAUUCGUAGAUAUUCGGAAGAACACCAGUGGCGAAGGCGGCUCACUGGCCCGGUACUGACGCUGAGGUGCGAAAGCGUGGGGAGCAAACAGG